AAAGGGUGCGUAGGCGGUUUGUUAAGUCAGCGGUGAAAUCUAGAGGCUCAACCUCGAAACUGCCGUUGAAACUGGCGAACUUGAGUGUAGAUGAGGUAGGCGGAAUUCGUGGUGUAGCGGUGAAAUGCAUAGAUAUCACGAGGAACUCCAAUUGCGAAGGCAGCUUACUAAGGUACAACUGACGCUGAAGCACGAAAGCGUGGGUAUCAAACAGGAUUAGAUACCCUGGUAGUCCACGCAGUAAACGAUGAUAACUGGGCGUAUGCGAUAUACAGUAUGCUCCUAAGCGAAAGCGUUAAGUUAUCCACCUGGGGAGUACGCCGGCAACGGUGAAACUCAAAGGAAUUGACGGGGGCCCGCACAAGCGGAGGAACAUGUGGUUUAAUUCGAUGAUACGCGAGGAACCUUACCCGGGAUUGAAAUGUAGAUGACAGGCGGUGAAAGCUGCUCUCCCUUCGGGGCAUCUAUGUAGGUGCUGCAUGGUUGUCGUCAGCUCGUGCCGUGAGGUGUCGGCUUAAGUGCCAUAACGAGCGCAACCCCUGUCUACGGUUGCCAUCAGGUGAUGCUGGGAACUCCGUAGAGACUGCCGUCGUAAGGCGUGAGGAAGGUGGGGAUGACGUCAAAUCAGCACGGCCCCUACAUCCGGGGCGAC
rnacentral:rRNA from 1 species